rnacentral:rRNA from 1 species
GACGAACGCUGGCGGCGUGCUUAACACAUGCAAGUCGAACGGAAAGGCCCUGCUUUUGUGGGGUGCUCGAGUGGCGAACGGGUGAGUAACACGUGAGUAACCUGCCCUUGACUUUGGGAUAACUUCAGGAAACUGGGGCUAAUACCGGAUAGGAGCUCCUGCUGCAUGGUGGGGGUUGGAAAGUUUCGGCGGUUGGGGAUGGACUCGCGGCUUAUCAGCUUGUUGGUGGGGUAGUGGCUUACCAAGGCUUUGACGGGUAGCCGGCCUGAGAGGGUGACCGGCCACAUUGGGACUGAGAUACGGCCCAGACUCCUACGGGAGGCAGCAGUGGGGAAUAUUGCACAAUGGGCGGAAGCCUGAUGCAGCAACGCCGCGUGCGGGAUGGCGGCCUUCGGGUUGUAAACCGCUUUCGCCUGUGAGGAAGCGUGAGUGACGGUAAUGGGUAAAGAAGCACCGGCUAACUACGUG